rnacentral:rRNA from 1 species
GACGAACGCUGGCGGCGUGCUUAACACAUGCAAGUCGAACGGAAAGGCCCUGCUUUUGUGGGGUGCUCGAGUGGCGAACGGGUGAGUAACACGUGAGUAACCUGCCCUUGACUUUGGGAUAACUUCAGGAAACUGGGGCUAAUACCGGAUAGGAGCUCCUGCUGCAUGGUGGGGGUUGGAAAGUUUCGGCGGUUGGGGAUGGACUCGCGGCUUAUCAGCUUGUUGGUGGGGUAGUGGCUUACCAAGGCUUUGACGGGUAGCCGGCCUGAGAGGGUGACCGGCCACAUUGGGACUGAGAUACGGCCCAGACUCCUACGGGAGGCAGCAGUGGGGAAUAUUGCACAACGGGCGGAAGCCUGAUGCAGCAACGCCGCGUGCGGGAUGAAGGCCUUCGGGUUGUAAACCGCUUUCGCCUGUGACGAAGCGUGAGUGACGGUAAUGGGUAAAGAAGCACCGGCUAACUACGUG